rnacentral:rRNA from 1 species
GUCUUUUUGAUUAUAAUUUAAAGUCUGACCUGCCCAAUGAGUAUUUAAAUGGCCGCGGUAAUUUGACCGUGCAAAGGUAGCAUAAUCAUUAGUUUUUUAAUUGAAAGCUGGAAUGAAUGGUUGGACGAGAAAAUAACUGUCUCAAUUUAAUUGAAUGUAGAAUUUUAUUUAUAAGUAAAAAAGCUUAUAUGAAUUUAAAAGACGAGAAGACCCUAUAGAAUUUAAUAGUUUAAUUUAUUAAUAUGUUUUAGAAUUAAUAAAUGUUGAUUUAUUAAACUAUUUUGUUGGGGUGACAAAAAAAUUUAAAUAACUUUUUUUUAUAAUAAUCAUAAAUUAAUGAAUAAUUGAUCCGCUUAUGGCGAUUAUAAGAUUAAAUUACCUUAGGGAUAACAGCGUAAUUUUUUUUUAGAGUUCUUAUCGAAAAAAGAGUUUGCGACCUCGAUGUUGGAUUAAAAUUAACUUUUGGUGUAGGUGCUAAAAAGUUAGGUCUGUUCGACCUUUAAAAUUUUACAUGAUCUGAGU